AGGUCCAGGCAGAUAGCAGCAGUAAAGGCCUAGUGUGCCAGGGAAUCCAUUGGGAGUAUGCCAAGCCCCUGUCACCAGCUGGCUGAUGGACUGGGUUUCCUGCACUUAUGAGCCCUCUGGAAGUAUUACAGGACCCUGUGAUGAAGCCUUCCGAUUUUGCAUUUCAAGGUCCCAUCCUGGUAGCCCAGAGCAGUGGCCAAGGAGUUGUGCCUAGGUGUACCCUGCAAUGAUGGCGUCAGAAUCCAACCACACCCGGAGCGUGCAGGCCAAGAACCCGGGCAUUCUGAGGAGGAUGGCCAAGAGGUGACAGCUGGAACUUACCAGACAGGCAGAUGGCCUUCUUCUGCAGCCAACAGGGAUUUGCAUCCCCAGAUAUGUGCAAGAUAAGUCAAGGGCUACAACCCACAGAGGGGAUGGAAGAGAGGUGCCAGGUUGGGACUCCCCAGGAGGGGUUUUUGAGUCAGUUUUGGAGAUGGGGAUGUUGAAGAAGAGUCUCCUAAGCCCACCUAAAUGCAAA